rnacentral:rRNA from 1 species
GAUGAACGCUGGCGGCGUGCUUAACACAUGCAAGUCGAACGAGAAGUGAAGACGGAUACCUUCGGGCGGAAGGCUUUAUAUCGAGUGGCGGACGGGUGAGUAACGCGCGGGUAACCUGCCUCAUACAGGGGGAUACCAGUUGGAAACGACUGUUAAUACCGCAUCAGACCACAGCAUCGCAUGGUGCGGUGGUAAAAACUCCGGUGGUAUGAGAUGGACCCGCGUUCGAUUAGCCAGUUGGCGGGGUAACGGCCCACCAAAGCGACGAUCGAUAGCCGAUCUGAGAGGAUGACCGGCCACAUUGGGACUGAGACACGGCCCAAACUCCUACGGGAUGCAGCAGUGGGGAAUAGUGCACAAUGGGGGAAACCCUGAUGCAGCGACGCCGCGUGAGUGAAGAAGUAUUGCGGUAUGUAAAGCUCUAUCAGCAGGGAAGAAAAUGACGGUACCUGAGUAAGAAGCCCCGGCUAACUACGUG